AGUGAACGCUGGCGGUAGGCCUAACACAUGCAAGUCGAACGGCAGCACAGUAAGAGCUUGCUCUUACGGGUGGCGAGUGGCGGACGGGUGAGGAAUACAUCGGAAUCUACUUUUUCGUGGGGGAUAACGUAGGGAAACUUACGCUAAUACCGCAUACGACCUACGGGUGAAAGCAGGGGAUCUUCGGACCUUGCGCGAUUGAAUGAGCCGAUGUCGGAUUAGCUAGUUGGCGGGGUAAAGGCCCACCAAGGCGACGAUCCGUAGCUGGUCUGAGAGGAUGAUCGGCCACACUGGAACUGAGACACGGUCCAGACUCCUACGGGAGGCAGCAGUGGGGAAUGUUGGGCAAUGGGCGCAAGCCUGGUCCAGCCAUACCGCGUGGGUGAAGAAGGCCUUCGGGUUGUAAAGCCCUUUUGUUGGGAAAGAAAAGCAGCAGGUUAAUACCCCGCUGUUCUGACGGUACCCAAAGAAUAAGCACCGGCUAACUUCGUG
rnacentral:rRNA from 1 species